rnacentral:rRNA from 1 species
UACAGAGGAUGCAAGCGUUAUCCGGAAUGAUUGGGCGUAAAGCGUCUGUAGGUGGCUUUUUAAGUCCGCCGUCAAAUCCCAGGGCUCAACUCUGGACAGGCGGUGGAAACUACCAAGCUGGAGUACGGUAGGGGCAGAGGGAAUUUCCGGUGGAGCGGUGAAAUGCGCAGAUAUCGGGAAGAACACCCGUGGCGAAGGCGGCUCUCUGGGACGGUACUGACGCUGAGACACGAAGGCCAGGGGAGCAAACGGG